AUUGAACGCUGGCGGAAUGCUUUACACAUGCAAGUCGAGCGGCAGCGCGGUCUUCGGACUGGCGGCGAGCGGCGAACGGGUGAGUAAUACAUCGGAACAUGCCCAGUCGUGGGGGGAUAACACUUCGAAAGAAGUGCUAAUACCGCAUACGUCCUGAGGGAGAAAGCGGGGGAUCGCAAGACCUCGCGCGAUUGGAGUGGCCGAUGUCAGAUUAGCUAGUUGGUGAGGUAAAGGCUCACCAAGGCGACGAUCUGUAACUGGUCUGAGAGGAUGAUCAGUCACACUGGAACUGAGACACGGUCCAGACUCCUACGGGAGGCAGCAGUGGGGAAUAUUGGACAAUGGGGGCAACCCUGAUCCAGCCAUGCCGCGUGUGUGAAGAAGGCCCUAGGGUUGUAAAGCACUUUCAGUGGGGAGAAAGGUUAUUCACCUAAUACGUGAGUAGAUUGAUGUUACCCACAGAAGAAGCACCGGCUAACUCCGUG
rnacentral:rRNA from 1 species